GGAGAUGUAGCUCAGUAGUAGAGCACUUGUCUAGCAUGUGUGAGGCCCUGGGUUCAAUCCCCAGUACCACCA
rnacentral:tRNA from 1 species